rnacentral:rRNA from 1 species
UACGAAGGGGGCUAGCGUUGUUCGGAAUUACUGGGCGUAAAGGGCGCGUAGGCGGCGCGACAAGUCACUUGUGAAAUCUCUGGGCUCAACCCAGAACGGUCAAGUGAUACUGUCGUGCUAGAGUGCGGAAGGGGCAACUGGAAUUCUUGGUGUAGCGGUGAAAUGCGUAGAUAUCAAGAGGAACACCUGCGGCGAAGGCGGGUUGCUGGGCCGACACUGACGCUGAGGCGCGAAAGCUAGGGGAGCGAACGGG